rnacentral:rRNA from 1 species
CAGCAGCCGCGGUAAUACGUAGGGUGCAAGCGUUAUCCGGAAUCAUUGGGCGUAAAGAGCUCGUAGGCGGUUUGUCGCGUCUGCUGUGAAAACUGGAGGCUCAACCUCCAGCCUGCAGUGGGUACGGGCAGACUAGAGUGCGGUAGGGGAGAUUGGAAUUCCUGGUGUAGCGGUGGAAUGCGCAGAUAUCAGGAGGAACACCGAUGGCGAAGGCAGAUCUCUGGGCCGUAACUGACGCUGAGGAGCGAAAGCGUGGGGAGCGAACAGGAUUAGAUACCCGCGUAGUCCCUGUCUCUUAUAA